AAAAGGACUCUCGGCAACGGAUAUCUCGGCUCUUGCAUCGAUGAAGAACGUAGCGAAAUGCGAUACUUGGUGUGAAUUGCAGAAUCCCGUGAACCAUCGAGUCUUUGAACGCAAGUUGUGCCCAAAGCCAUUCGGUUGAGGGCACGCCUGCCUGGGUGUCG
rnacentral:rRNA from 1 species